rnacentral:rRNA from 1 species
ACGCUGGCGGCACGCCUAACACAUGCAAGUCGAACGAAGUAGCAAUACUUAGUGGCAGACGGGUGAGUAACAUGUAGGUAUCUGCCCUUUGGCCUGGAAUAACACGAGGAAACUUGUGCUAAUACCGGAUAAGUCUUUACGGAGAAAGCUUUAUGCACCAUUGGAUGAGCCUGCACUUGAUUAGUUUGUUGGUGGGGUAAUGGCCUACCAAGACUGUGAUCAAUAGCUGAUUUGAGAGGAUGAUCAGCCACAUUGGGACUGAGACACGGCCCAAACUCCUACGGGAGGCAGCAGUGGGGAAUCUUGCACAAUGGAGGAAACUCUGAUGCAGCGAUGCCGCGUGAGUGAAGAAGGCCUUUGGGUUGUAAAGCUCUUUCGUCGGGGAAGAAAAUGACUGUACCCGAAUAAGAAGGUCCGGCUAACUUCGUGCCAGCAGCCGCGGUAAUACGAAGGGACCUAGCGUAGUUCGGAAUUACUGGGCUUAAAGAGUUCGUAGGUGGUUGAAAAAGUUAGUGGUGAAAUCCCAGAGCUUAACUCUGGAACUGCCAUUAAAACUUUUCAGCUAGAGUAUGAUAGAGGAAAGCAGAAUUUCUAGUGUAGAGGUGAAAUUCGUAGAUAUUAGAAAGAAUACCAAUUGCGAAGGCAGCUUUCUGGAUCAUUACUGACACUGAGGAACGAAAGCAUGGGUAGCGAAGAGGAUUAGAUACCCUCGUAGUCCAUGCCGUAAACGAUGUGUGUUAGACGUUGGAAAUUUAUUUUCAGUGUCGCAGCGAAAGCGAUAAACACACCGCCUGGGGAGUACGACCGCAAGGUUAAAACUCAAAUGAAUUGACGGGGACCCGCACAAGUAGUGGAGCAUGUGGUUUAAUUCGAAGAUACGCGCAGAACCUUACCAACACUUGACAUGUUCGUCGCGACUCUAAGAGAUUAGAGUUUUCGGUUCGGCCGGACGAAACACAGGUGCUGCAUGGCUGUCGUCAGCUCGUGUCGUGAGAUGUUGGGUUAAGUCCCGCAACGAGCGCAACCCUCACUUUUAGUUGCCAUCAUUAAGUUGGGCACUCUGAAAGAACUGCCAGUGAUAAGCUGGAGGAAGGUGGGGAUGACGUCAAGUCCUCAUGGCCCUUACGUGUUGGGCUACACACGUGCUACAAUGGUAUCUACAACAGGAAGCAAGACUGCGAAGUUAAGCAAAUCCCUAAAAGAUACCUCAGUUCGGAUUGCACUCUGCAACUCGAGUGCAUGAAGCUGGAAUUACUAGUAAUCGUGGAUCAGCGUGCCACGGUGAAUGCGUUCCCGGGUCUUGUACACACCGC